GAAGCAGAAUUUGCCCGUCUUACAUCUGUUGACCUGAAAGGGUUCCUUUUUGCUGUGCUUGACCAUUAUGGAGAGGUUCGUGGAGCUGUACAAAAUCAAGAGCGGCAUAGAAAGGCUAACUAGGCUCAUAAGAUGCUUCGGAGAUGAUAGCCCUACACAAAGGAAGAGGACAGAGGACCUCAUUUUCUAAAGGAAGAUCCCUCACACACUUUCAAGACUGUGAAGCCGACAGGUAUUGAAGACACGUUUUCUAAGAGGAUGAAAGUUGGCAUUGCGAUGGUGAAAGAAGAAGACAUCAUCGAUGUGUUGGUUGUCCUUGAGGCGGCAGUAAUCCUGUCUAAUCUGAGGGAUGUCUCAAGUGCCAUUUCCAUGCUGAUGGGCCUUCUUUUUGCCCUCAACAUACACUAUCCAAAGGAACUUAAGGACAUCU